AACGAACGCUGGCGGCAGGCCUAACACAUGCAAGUCGAACGCCGUAGCAAUACGGAGUGGCAGACGGGUGAGUAACACGUGGGAACAUACCCUUCGGUUCGGAAUAACUCAGGGAAACUUGAGCUAAUACCGGAUACGUCCGCGAGGAGAAAGAUUCAUCGCCGGAGGAUUGGCCCGCGUCUGAUUAGCUUGUUGGUGAGGUAACGGCUCACCAAGGCGACGAUCAGUAGCNGGUCUGAGAGGAUGAUCAGCCACAUUGGGACUGAGACACGGCCCAGACUCCUACGGGAGGCAGCAGUGGGGAA
rnacentral:rRNA from 1 species